AUGAAUAACAUGUAGUGCUCAAAACAAUUAAAUACUUCUUAGAAAAUCGUAACUAAAUUAAUUGAAACCAGCUACUCGAGGCUCUUAAAAUCAACACGGGUUUGUAAACCAAUAUUGCGCUACAUUUCCGUGCUGAAUUGACGACCGCGCGGUAACACGGGUUUGGAAACCAAUAUUAAGAAACAUUUCCGUGCUGAUUUCACGACCACGCGGUGUUGAAAUGAACACGGAAACGUAAAUACGCAUCCCGAAGCUAAAGAGCCUCCCGUUCGGAUUUCCGGGUGGAAGGAAAAAUUUAAGUGUAGAUCUAUCUCUAGCAAAGAAGAAAGUAAACUCGGAAACAACCACGGUUCAUACGUUAUAUCCUGGCUACCACCUUCACACUCGAUUUAGGCACAACUUCGGAUUCACCGUCUUCAUUAGAAACGAUAUAUCUUGCCAGCGAGAUGAAGCUCUAAAGCCCCCAAGAUUACUUACCAAUACAUUCUACAGAAGGCUUUUCACCGACUUCGCUAAAAGAAUCGACGAUGUACGGCAAGCAGACCAUCUAAGUGGAGAAAUUGAUGUUACGGCAGACUUUAACUCAACAAUGCCAAAUGGUUGAUGUAUUCUAAUAGGACUGACAAUGAGGGGCCUUAAGCAAAAGACUUUGCGAUUAGUCACGAGAAGCCAACACGAAUCCUGCUAGACUUCUGGAUCUCUGUCGCGUCGGAUCCUGACUCGUACGUGCGCUAUUAGGCACAUCACAAGACUAUAAAUGAAUAAUCGCAACAUGCGAACUAGAAAUGAAAUAUCUACUCUUAAUCUACUACAAUUUUCUUUGGUGUAUUACGAUGAGAGAAAUAAUGUCUUAAUUUAUUAAUGACGGUCGUAGCAUUUUUAUCUGAAAUAUAAUAUGCUUGAGCAUA